AUUGAACGCUGGCGGCAUGCCUUACACAUGCAAGUCGAACGGUAACGGGCCUUCGGGUGCCGACGAGUGGCGAACGGGUGAGUAAUGCAUCGGAACGUACCUUUCAGUGGGGGAUAACGUAGCGAAAGUUACGCUAAUACCGCAUAUUCUGUGAGCAGGAAAGCAGGGGAUCGCAAGACCUUGCGCUGAUUGAGCGGCCGAUGUCAGAUUAGCUAGUUGGUGAGGUAAAGGCUCACCAAGGCGACGAUCUGUAGCGGGUCUGAGAGGAUGAUCCGCCACACUGGAACUGAGACACGGUCCAGACUCCUACGGGAGGCAGCAGUGGGGAAUUUUGGACAAUGGGGGCAACCCUGAUCCAGCCAUGCCGCGUGAGUGAAGAAGGCCUUCGGGUUGUAAGGACUCUUUCGGCCGGGAACGAAAUCGUAAUUGGGCUAAUACCCUACGUGGCGGAUGACGGUACCGGGCAUAAGAAGACACCGGCUAACUACGUGCCAGCAGCCGAC
rnacentral:rRNA from 1 species